AUUGAACGCUGGCGGCAGGCUUAACACAUGCAAGUCGAACGCGUGGCGGACGGGUGAGUAAUGCUUGGGAAUCUAGCUUAUGGAGGGGGAUAACUACGGGAAACUGUAGCUAAUACCGCGUACCAUAGGAUGAGCCCAAGUGGGAUUAGGUCGUUGGUGAGUUAAAGGCUAACCAAGCCGACGAUCUCUAGCUGGUCUGAGAGGAUGAACAGCCACACGGGGACUGAGACACGGCCCAGAUGCCUACGGGAGGCAGCAGUGGGGAAUAUUGCGCAAUGGGGGCAACCUGACGCAGCCAUGCCGCGUGAAUGAAGAAGGCCUUCGGGUUGUAAAGUUCUUUCGGUAGCGAGGCGUUAACUACAGAAGAAGCACCGGCUAACUCCGUGCCAGCAGCCGCGGUAAUUC
rnacentral:rRNA from 1 species